rnacentral:lncRNA from 1 species
UCAUAGAGUGUAGCGACAAUUUUGUGCACUCAUGCUUCUGCAUUUUGUUUACUGUGCUGAGUGUUUUUGAACUCAAAAUUCAAAUAGAGUUUCAAAUGGCUUUGGAAUAAAAGAAAAAGGAAAAAAAAAAAAAAAAAAACAAACCAAAACUCUCCCCACCUGAUUCUGGCCCGAAGGCCCACUCCUCCUUUCCUCCCCCUUCCGGCCUACUCCCUAACCAGCGCGCGCGGCCCAGCUUCCCUCCCCCUUUUUCCUUUCUUCGCGAGGCCCAACGCCCAGCUCCGAUCGCACCCCGGCCCAUUGCAUCGCAGCGGCCCACUCGGCCAUCCAAGCCGCACCUCCCCUCUGUCAACUGGGCCCUAUUCUUUAUUCUCUCUGACACUGUGACCCCACCUGUCAGCCGGUCUUCUUCAACCUUUAGUCGGAGCCGUGCAGGACUCCCGAUCGGGAGCUAAAUCCCGAUUCGCACGGGAUUUUCUGCCAAAUCCGCCAAAGCCGAGCCUUUUUAAGCCUCGUGAUCUCCUUCUCGACCCUCCUUUCCAAUCUACGCGCUCAUGGAGCCACCCUAGCCCUUGCCAUCACCGAUUUUCGGAUCUCGGCGGACCCGGGGUCAAUCCGCCUCAGCGAAUUUCGUGUUCGUCGCGUUUGUGCUCGGGUGAGUAGUUGCCGAUGUUGGAGAAGCCCUUGCGAAGCCGC